rnacentral:pre_miRNA from 1 species
UUUUUGGUAUAAAUAUGCCCCAUGCUACAUUUGGGACAUACUUAUACUAAAA